rnacentral:rRNA from 1 species
GACGAACCGUACGAACGUUAUUCGGAAUCACUGGGCUUAAAGGGUGCGUAGGCGGCGCGACAAGUUGGGUGUGAAAUCCCUCGGCUCAACCGAGGAACUGCGCCCAAAACUGUCGUGCUCGAGGGAGACAGAGGUGAGCGGAACUUAGGGUGGAGCGGUGAAAUGCGUUGAUAUCCUAAGGAACACCGGUGGCGAAAGCGGCUCACUGGGUCUCUUCUGACGCUGAGGCACGAAAGCUAGGGUAGCGAACGGAGUAAGCAU